rnacentral:rRNA from 1 species
CCUACGGGUGGCAGCAGUGAGGAAUAUUGGUCAAUGGCCGGAAGGCUGAACCAGCCAAGUCGCGUGAAGGAAGAAGGAUCUAUGGUUUGUAAACUUCUUUUAUAGGGGAAUAAAGGUAUCCACGUGUGGAUAUUUACAUGUACCCUAUGAAUAAGCAUCGGCUAACUCCGUGCCAGCAGCCGCGGUAAUAUGGAGGAUGCGAGCGUUGUCCGGAUUUAUUGGGUUUAAAGGGUGCGUAGGGGGGCUUUUAAGUCACCGGUAAAAAUUCGGGGCUCAACCCCGUCCGGCCGUUGAAACUGGGGGCCUGGAGUGGGCGAGAAGAAGGCGGAAUGCGUGGUGUAGCGGUGAAAUGCAUAGAUAUCACGAAGAACCCCGAUUGCGAAGGCAGCCUUCCGGCGCCCUACUGACGCUGAGGCACGAAAGUGCGGGGAUCGAACAGGAUUAGAUACCCCAGUAGUC